UUUCAAGUCGUUACAAAACAAUGUGAAUGAACAUCAUUUAAACUUGUUUUUAUGAUAUUAAGUUUAAAAAAAAAUAAAAAAAUGUCACACUUAUUUAAAGAAAUAAACGACAUUUUGAUUUAAUCGAUGUCCCGUUUCAUCUGUUCAUAAUGCAUGACUGUGAUUUCGUAAUGCACGGGUGUGAUUUCGUAAUGCAUGACUGAUAUUUCGUAAUGCAUGACUGAGAUUUCGUAAUGACUGGCUGUAGCAAUUUUUCCGUUCAUAAUGACCAGAUGUUGAAAUUUUCCCUUUAUAAAGCAUGGGCAUUUCUAUACAUAUUGUAGUAAGUUGGUUAAUAAAAAU
rnacentral:lncRNA from 1 species